UACGGAGGGUGCAAGCGUUAUCCGGAUUCACUGGGUUUAAAGGGUGCGUAGGCGGGCAAGUAAGUCAGUGGUGAAAUCUCCGGGCUUAACCGGGGAAUGGCGUCUGAUACUGGAUGGCUUGAGUUCGGGAGAGGGAUGCGGAAUUCCAGGUGUAGCGGUGAAAUGCGUAGAUAUCUGGAGGAACACCGGUGGCGAAGGCGGCAUCCUGGACCGAAACUGACGCUGAGGAGCGAAAGCCAGGGGAGCAAACGGG
rnacentral:rRNA from 1 species